CAGCACAAGACAUCCUGACCUUCAAGGGAGGGAGGAACACCUUGAGAGGAGUUGAGAUCCUGCUUUCUCUUCAGAAUGCCAUCUCUAGGAUGCCAAUGGGCUGUGUCUACAGUACUAUGUAGGAAAGUGCUGCAAGAGUUCUUUCUGUCACCUCUCUGAAGACCUGGUUCAUAUCUGCAGCUGCAACUCUAUCCCUGAACUCAUCUUUGAAACUACCCAGAGAUAGACUGUCAAGAGCUUCAGAGCUUUACAACAGGAUCUUCCAAGUGCCCUGAGAGGUCAUGAUGGAGCCAAUAGAAAUAAAUCAUACAAAACAAAGCCAGAACCUGGUGGGAGGGAUGCUUACAAAACAACAUAAACGAGAAGUUGUCUGAAAAAAAAUUGUAUGGAAGGAAGAAGAGAUGAGAUAAGGGAAAUGAACUCAUAAUAGCCCCAGUUAAAAUACUUACAGUAAAAUAUCAUUAGUACUACUUGAUGUUGGUGAAAGGCUCUAGACUCAAGUCAGAAGGCCCAAUUUGUUGCUGUGAUUUCUUGAACAAAUUAUGUAAUUGUGUUGAGAUUCAGUUUUCUUUUCUAUCAUUGGGUAUUAAUAACUUCUAUGUGAUGUCAGAGUUAUGAUGUGAAGUUAAAAUAACUAAUAAAUGGGUAAAC
rnacentral:lncRNA from 1 species